AACGAACGCUGGCGGCAGGCCUAACACAUGCAAGUCGAACGCCCUAGCAAUAGGGAGUGGCAGACGGGUGAGUAACACGUGGGAACCUUCCCUAUAGUACGGAAUAUACCAGGGAAACUUGGAGCAAUACCGUAUACGCCCGAGAGGGGAAAGAUUUAUCGCUAUAGGAUGGGCCCGCGUAGGAUUAGCUAGUUGGUGAGGUAAUGGCUCACCAAGGCGACGAUCCUUAGCUGGUUUGAGAGAACGACCAGCCACACUGGGACUGAGACACGGCCCAGACUCCUACGGGAGGCAGCAGUGGGGAAUAUUGGACAAUGGGCGCAAGCCUGAUCCAGCCAUGCCGCGUGAGUGAUGAAGGCCUUAGGGUUGUAAAGCUCUUUUGCCGGGACGAUAAUGACGGUACCCGGAGAAUAAGUCCCGGCUAACUUCGUGCCAGCAGCCGCCGUAAC
rnacentral:rRNA from 1 species